rnacentral:lncRNA from 10 species
AAAGGUCAUGAUUUCCACCCUGGGGCUGGGAGGCAGCUACAUAUUCCUACCCGCUGGCACAGGAUCUGGCCCUGCACUCCCGAGAGGUGGCUGCGAGCCUUGCGGAGGCAGAGAGAGAACAAAAUGGAAAGGAAUCUUCCUCCCGGAGAGCCAUCUUCUGUGCAUGCCGGUGCCUGCAAAAGACAGGCGAGGCGAGACAGCUGCACCUCGGGCCUCGUCGCUGUUGCUGAGAAAGAAAGGAACAAAUAAAUUUAGCUCCAUCCUACGCAUCCUUUGCAGCUGCUGAUUGACCAAACAGAAAGAGGCCUCUAUUUCAACCCUGGCUUCUCAGCUUUUUGCCUGAUGGGGUCUGCUAUCGCCCUUUACAAGGGACUUUUGAAGGAGGAAACGGGCCGUGGCCUUAUUUAGCGCCUGGCCGGCUGGAGGCUGCACAGACAGGAGUUCAAGUUUAGGGUGUCUCUUCUUGCCCAUCCCAAAGCAAAAUGGUGGCCCGGAAACGUUUCCAAAUGGGCUUCGGCUCCUGGAAUUUCCAAUGUAUUUAUUUGGAAGCCAGAACAUGGUGGGUGGAGAGAUGUGUAACUGUGCCGAGGCCAGCCUAUAGCUCCCGAAGCCAUUAGUUUAAUAGCACCAUUUGUGGAAAUAAAGAACUCGCUGACUGGGCUUGAAGGUAAAAGACUGGAACGAAGCACUGAGGGGGUUUCGUGGGGCUCACUAGCGUGGAGAGGUCCCUGCGGGAUGGGGGACAAGCUGUGUGGACUUUGAGUCAGAUAGACUUGGGUUCCAGUCCUAGCUCUAUCACCUAAAGGCACGUUGUCUCUGGACAAAGAGAGCCUUUGCUCUGUGAUAUGUAAGUGAAAUGCUAGCUGUGACACUGAACCUCUCUGAGCCUCAGUUCCUUAUCUGUAAAACAGCAAUGAUGACACGAGGUCGUCACAAGGAUUAAAUGACAAAGAAUACUGAACCUACAUAGCCCAGCUCUUGCUGUGCCAUGAUGGUGUAGAGUGGCCCCUGUUUGACCUGCCCAGGCCCAUUCUCCAAAGAAGCUGUACAGGUACCUGAUGCUGGCUGCUGACUCGAUAUAUUCAG